UACGAAGGGGGCUAGCGUUGUUCGGAAUUACUGGGCGUAAAGCGCGUGUAGGCGGGUCGUUAAGUCGGGGGUGAAAGCCCAGAGCUCAACUCUGGAACUGCCUUCGAUACUGGCGACCUGGACCCAAGGAGAGGCGAGUGGAAUUGCGAGUGUAGAGGUGAAAUUCGUAGAUAUUCGCAGGAACACCAGUGGCGAAGGCGACUCGCUGGACUUGUGGUGACGCUGAGACGCGAAAGCGUGGGGAGCAAACAGG
rnacentral:rRNA from 1 species